UACGUAGGGAGCGAGCGUUGUCCGGAAUUACUGGGUGUAAAGGGAGCGUAGGCGGGGAUGCAAGUUGGGUGUCAAAACUACCGGCUCAACUGGUAGUCGCACUCAAAACUGCAGCUCUUGAGUGAAGUAGAGGCAGGCGGAAUUCCUAGUGUAGCGGUGAAAUGCGUAGAUAUUAGGAGGAACACCAGUGGCGAAGGCGGCCUGCUGGGCUUUUACUGACGCUGAGGGUCGAAAGUGUGGGGAGCAAACAGG
rnacentral:rRNA from 1 species